rnacentral:rRNA from 1 species
UAGAGUUUGAUCCUGGCUCAGGAUAGACGCUGGCGGCGUGCCUUAAACAUGCAAGUCGAACGGUGUCCGCAAGGGCACAGUGGCAGACGGCUGAGUAACACGUAAGUAACCUAUCCUCAAGUGGGGAAUAACUACGAGAAAUCGUAGCUAAUACCGCAUGUGGUCGUAGAGGUGAAGGCCUCUAAGAGUAAAGCCGAGAGGUGCUUGAGGGGGGGCUUGCGUCCGAUUAGCUAGUUGGUAGGGUAAAGGCCUACCAAGGCGAUGAUCGGUAGCUGGUCUGAGAGGAUGAUCAGCCAGACUGGGACUGAGAAACGGCCCAGACUCCUACGGGAGGCAGCAGUUAGGAAUUUUGGGCAAUGGGCGAAAGCCUGACCCAGCAACGCCGCGUGGGUGAAGAAGGUCUUCGGAUCGUAAAGCCCUUUUCUGUGGGAAGAUGAUGACGGUACCACAGGAAUAAGCAUCGGCUAACUACGUGCCAGCAGCCGCGGUAAUACGUAGGAUGCGAGCGUUGUCCGGAUUUAUUGGGCGUAAAGAGCGCGCAGGCGGUUAGGAAAGUUGGAUGUGAAAGACCCUGGCUUAACUAGGGGAGGUCAUUCAAAACUAUCUAGCUUGAGGGCAGCAGAGGAAAGUGGAAUUCCCGGUGUAGUGGUGAAAUGCGUAGAUAUCGGGAGGAACACCAGUGGCGAAGGCGGCUUUCUGGGCUGUCACUGACGCUGAGGCGCGAAAGCGUGGGUAGCGAACCGAAUUAGAUACUCGGGUAGUCCACGCCGCAAACGAUGGACACUAGGUGUAGGGGGUAUCGACCCCCCCUGUGCCGAAGCUAACGCAUUAAGUGUCCCGCCUGGGGAGUACGGCCGCAAGGCUAAAACUCAAAGGAAUUGACGGGGGCCCGCACAAGCAGCGGAGCGUGUGGUUUAAUUCGACGCAACGCGAAGAACCUUACCAGGACUUGACAUAGCAGUGGUAGGAACCUGAAAGGGAGACGACCCCGCAAGGGGAGCUGUUACAGGUGCUGCAUGGCUGUCGUCAGCUCGUGCCGUGAGGUGUUGUUAAGUCCCGCAACGAGCGCAACCCUUGUUGCUAGUUGAAAGAUCUAGCGAGACUGCCGAGACAAACUCGGAGGAAGGUGGGGAUGACGUCAAGUCAGCAUGGCCCUUACGUCCUGGGCUACACACACGCUACAAUGGGUGGUACAGAGGGUAGCGAAGGGGUGACCUGGAGCCAAUCCCAACAAAGCCACCCCCAGUUCAGAUUGUAGGCUGCAACUCACCUGCAUGAAGUCGGAGUUGCUAGUAACCGUGGGUCAGCACACCGCGGUGAAUACGUUCCCGGGCCUUGUACACACCGCCCGUCACGUCAUGAAAGCUGGUAACACCUGAAGUCGAUGAGCUAACCGAAAGGGGGCAGUCGCCGAGGGUGGGACUAGUGAUUGGGACGAAGUCGUAACAAGGUAACC